rnacentral:rRNA from 1 species
CCUACGUGAGGCAGCAGUGAGGAAUAUUGGUCAAUGGGCGCGAGCCUGAACCAGCCAAGUAGCGUGAAGGAUGACUGCCCUACGGGUUGUAAACUUCUUUUAUAAAGGAAUAAAGUGAGGUACGUGUGCCUUUUUGUAUGUACUUUAUGAAUAAGGAUCGGCUAACUCCGUGCCAGCAGCCGCGGUAAUACGGAGGAUCCGAGCGUUAUCCGGAUUUAUUGGGUUUAAAGGGAGCGUAGAUGGGUUGUUAAGUCAGUUGUGAAAGUUUGCGGCUCAACCGUAAAAUUGCAAUUGAUACUGGCAGUCUUGAGUACAGUUGAGGUAGGCGGAAUUCGUGGUGUAGCGGUGAAAUGCUUAGAUAUCACGAAGAACUCCGAUUGCGAAGGCAGCUUACUAAACUGCCACUGACAUUGAUGCUCGAAAGUGUGGGUAUCAAACAAGAUUAGAUACCCUAGUAGUC